rnacentral:rRNA from 1 species
GACAGAGGAGCAAAGCGUUGUCCGGAUUGACUGGGCGUAAAGCGCACGCAGGCGGUCGCGCGCGUGGGGUGUGAAAUCUGGCCGCUUAACGGCCAGGCGCCAUCCCAUACGGCGCGACUGGAGUGAUGCAGAGGUCGAUGGAAUUGCCGGUGUAGUGGUGAAAUGCGUAGAGAUCGGCAGGAACACCCAGGGGGAAACCAGUCGACUGGGCAUCUACUGACGCUGAGGUGCGAGAGCGUGGGGAGCGAACCGG